UNUGUAGCAGCACAGUCUUCUUAAUAGGCA
rnacentral:piRNA from 1 species